rnacentral:rRNA from 2 species
GACAGAGGUGGCAAGCGUUGUUCGGAUUUACUGGGCGUAAAGGGUGCGUAGGUGGUUAGGUAAGACCUGCGGGAAAUCCCUGGGCUUAACCCAGGAAGGUCGCAGGUGACUGCCUAGCUAGAGGGCGGGAGAGGAGCGCGGAAUUCCCGGUGUAGCGGUGAAAUGCGUAGAGAUCGGGAGGAAGGCCGGUGGCGAAGGCGGCGCUCUGGAACGUUCCUGACACUGAGGCACGAAAGCGUGGGGAGCAAACAGG